rnacentral:rRNA from 1 species
UUAAGUUAAUAAGGGCGCACGGUGGAUGCCUUGGCACUAGGAGCCGACGAAGGACGUGACAAACGACGAUAUGCCUUGGGUAGCUGUAAGUAAGCGAUGAUCCAGGGAUUUCCGAAUGGGGGAACCCAACAGGUAAUACCUGUUACCCACAUCUGUUAAGGAUGUGAGGAGGAAGACGCAGUGAACUGAAACAUCUAAGUAGCUGCAGGAAGAGAAAGCAAAAGCGAUUGCCUUAGUAGCGGCGAGCGAAACGGCAGAAGGGCAAACCGAAGAGUUUACUCUUCGGGGUUGUAGGACUGCAAUGUGGACUCAAAGAUUAUAGAAGAAUGAUUUGGGAAGAUCAGCCAAAGAGAGUAAUAGCCUCGUAUUUAAAAUAGUCUUUGUACCUAGCAGUAUCCUGAGUACGGCGGGACACGUGAAAUCCCGUCGGAAUCUGGGAGGACCAUCUCCCAACCCUAAAUACUCCCUAGUGACCGAUAGUGAACCAGUACCGUGAGGGAAAGGUGAAAAGCACCCCGGGAGGGGAGUGAAAUAGAACCUGAAACCGUGUGCCUACAACAAGUUCGAGCCCGUUAAUGGGUGAGAGCGUGCCUUUUGUAGAAUGAACCGGCGAGUUACGUUAUGAUGCGAGGUUAAGUUGAAGAGACGGAGCCGUAGGGAAACCGAGUCUGAAUAGGGCGCCUUAGUAUCAUGACGUAGACCCGAAACCAUGUGACCUACCCAUGAGCAGGUUGAAGGUGCGGUAAGACGCACUGGAGGACCGAACCAGGGCACGUUGAAAAGUGCUUGGAUGACUUGUGGGUAGCGGAGAAAUUCCAAACGAACUUGGAGAUAGCUGGUUCUCUCCGAAAUAGCUUUAGGGCUAGCGUCGACAUUAGAGAUUCUUGGAGGUAGAGCACUGUUUGGGUGAGGGGUCCAUCCCGGAUUACCAAUCUCAGAUAAACUCCGAAUGCCAAUGAAUUAUGGUCGGCAGUCAGACUGCGAGUGCUAAGAUCCGUAGUCGAAAGGGAAACAGCCCAGACCACCAGCUAAGGUCCCAAAAUAAUUGUUAAGUGGAAAAGGAUGUGGGGUUGCACAGACAACUAGGAUGUUAGCUUAGAAGCAGCUAUUCAUUCAAAGAGUGCGUAAUAGCUCACUAGUCGAGUGACCCUGCGCCGAAAAUGUACCGGGGCUAAAACAAUUUACCGAAGCUGUGGAUACCUUUAUAGGUAUGGUAGGAGAGCGUUCUAUGUGUGAUGAAGGUAUACCGUGAGGAGUGCUGGAACGCAUAGAAGUGAGAAUGCCGGUAUGAGUAGCGAAAGACAGGUGAGAAUCCUGUCCACCGUAAGACUAAGGUUUCCAGGGGAAGGCUCGUCCGCCCUGGGUUAGUCGGGACCUAAGGAGAGACCGAAAGGUGUAUCCGAUGGACAACAGGUUGAUAUUCCUGUACUAGAGUAUGUAGUGAUGGAGGGACGCAGUAGGCUAACUAAAGCAGACGAUUGGAAGAGUCUGUCUAAGCAGUGAGGUGUGAUAUGAGUCAAAUGCUUAUAUCUGUAACAUUGAGCUGUGAUGGGGAGCGAAGUUUAGUAGCGAAGUUAGUGACGUCACACUGCCAAGAAAAGCUUCUAGCGUUUAAACAUACUCUACCCGUACCGCAAACCGACACAGGUAGUCGAGGCGAGUAGCCUCAGGUGAGCGAGAGAACUCUCGUUAAGGAACUCGGCAAAAUGACCCCGUAACUUCGGGAGAAGGGGUGCUGACUUUAAGUCAGCCGCAGUGAAUAGGCCCAAGCAACUGUUUAUCAAAAACACAGCUCUCUGCUAAAUCGUAAGAUGAUGUAUAGGGGGUGACGCCUGCCCGGUGCUGGAAGGUUAAGAGGAGUGCUUAGCGUAAGCGAAGGUAUGAAUUGAAGCCCCAGUAAACGGCGGCCGUAACUAUAACGGUCCUAAGGUAGCGAAAUUCCUUGUCGGGUAAGUUCCGACCCGCACGAAAGGCGUAAUGAUUUGGGCACUGUCUCAACGAGAGACUCGGUGAAAUUUUAGUACCUGUGAAGAUGCAGGUUACCCGCGACAGGACGGAAAGACCCCAUGGAGCUUUACUGCAGUUUGAUAUUGAGUGUCUGUACCACAUGUACAGGAUAGGUAGGAGUCUAAGAGAUCGGGACGCCAGUUUCGAAGGAGACGCUGUUGGGAUACUACCCUUGUGUUAUGGCCACUCUAACCCAGAUAGGUGAUCCCUAUCGGAGACAGUGUCUGACGGGCAGUUUGACUGGGGCGGUCGCC